GUUGGAGGCUUGGCUGAGUUGGAUCCCUAAUUCCCUAAACUAAAACACAGCAACCCAGGCACCCAGCUCGUUCUCCGCCGUUUCGAGUGACUCUCUCCAUCCCCACCUCUCUCUCGUCAGUCGUCUCCGAGCUUCAGGACUCAGGAGUUCAGGACUUGAGAUUGGAGAUUUGGAGCUACUUUCAUUGCUUGAUGCAUUGAUGCCUAAUGCCUUGAUUUGCUAUUUUGCUUCGGUCAAUCCCGAGUUCUCGACCAGACGAGUGAGACGACCACGGAUGAGUGGAUGACGGAUCACCUGAUUCAGUGAUUCACCUCAAUGAAAAUUGAAAUUGUGUUACACCAAAAUGUCAAAUCAUGAGCCGAAACCGAAGCGUUAGAGGGGUUAUCUAAUAUUAUUUUAUUAUUGAGUUUGUUCUUUAAUUUUGUAUAUGCAUUAGAGGGGUAAGACUCAUUAUGUCCCCCCUGACUAGGUGUAUCAUUUUUUCAAUUAAUAAAAUUCUCUCGCACCGUCGAGAUUCUCUAUUA